rnacentral:rRNA from 1 species
CCUACGGGAGGCAGCAGUGAGGAAUAUUGGUCAAUGGAGGCAACUCUGAACCAGCCAAGUAGCGUGCAGGAUGACGGCCCUAUGGGUUGUAAACUGCUUUUAUGCGGGGAUAACCUGCGUCACGUGUGGCUUAUUGCAGGUACCGCAUGAAUAAGGACCGGCUAAUUCCGUGCCAGCAGCCGCGGUAAUACGGAAGGGCCGGGCGUUAUCCGGAUUUAUUGGGGUUAAAGGGAGCGCAGGCCGCCCCUUAAGCGUGGUGUGAAAUGCCGCGGCCCAACCGGGGCACUGCAGUGCGAACUGGAGGGCUGGAGUGCACAGCAGGCAGGCGGAAGUCGGGGUGUAGCGGUGAAAUGCAUAGAUAUCACGAGGAACCCCGAUUGCGAAGGCAGCCUGCCGUGGUGCGACUGACGCUGAGGCUCGAAGGUGCGGGUAUCAAACAGGAUUAGAUACCCGAGUAGUC